CAGCCGGCGAUAAUAAUAAUAAGCUCAACAAAACAUAUAAAGUUUAGAAGCAGGCUGAUCCAGGAACUGUCUGCUGCCGCUGUUACCGACAGUCACAUGGUGCUGCUGUGUGAACAAGAAUGAACUUGGUCUCUGCCAGAACGCGCACACACAUAUACAGUACGCAGUCACCUCUUCCCCAAAAACGGCUCCCUGUGGGCCGGCCUACAAAAACCCGCUCUGAUCACCCCGUUUCCUUCCUGCCUUUACUGUCUUUGUGUCUCUGUCUGUGACCUCAUGAAUAACAGAGGAGGAAGAGGAGGAGGUCUAAAUGACUGCAUUUAUGUGUUGCCCAACAGAUGAUCACACUGGAGAGGUAAAAAAAAAACCUGCACAUGCAGAGAUGAAGGUCAUCAGGCCACAAAUGCAGCUCUCUGGAGGAGGAUCUGCACCUGUGUCACUGAAGAUGGUAAGAGAGCUGUGUCAGAAUUCCACCUUCUGUUAUUACCUUACCCACCAUCCUAGAAGAACAAUGUGUCAGCGUGAUCUCUGUGUUUGCAUUAAUUACAGCUUUAUUUAUUUGUAAAUGUUUCUUUGUUAUAUUUGAAAUGUCAAAAACUGCAGUUCCUGGAAUUACCACACGAGGGCGGCUCAAAUGUUGAGUCGAUCCCCGCAAGCUAUUUUACUGUUUAUACAGAUUUCUAUAAAUCAGCUGGUAUCUAUUAGUAUCCAUGGCAACCAUUCGUGUCUGUGACUUCAGGAUCCUCUGAGACUGAGAUGUUCAUUCAUUUCAUCCUAUUUGUCUCAGCAGGCCCUGCUUCCAUUAGUAGAAUACAUUCCAUUGUUUAACCAUUACCUGACUCAUUAAUGCAGCUUUAGAGCACAUCAUGAGGAUUUAGAUGAGAGUCUCCUGUGAGGUGAGUGGACCCUCUCCUCUCUCUUUAGGCCUUUUUGGUUUAUUAUUGAGGAAUAAUGUACUUUCACACUUGUGAAGAACGACUUUUCUUUUUGUGUGGAAUCUUCCUCCACCACAGGUAUGACAGUGAAAGAAUGCUGACGUUCAGGUUCUCAGAGUGUGAUGUGAGGAGAGUGAAACUGAAAGCCAUCACUAGUCACAAGCUGCUGCUUUACAGCAUGUUGCGCCAUGUGUUUGACACUCAUGUGAUGAUUGGAGUACAUCAGUUUCACAGUGGCAUGCAUUGAUUCUGCUUUUUAAGACUCCCUGUCAACAAAGGACCUAGCAUAGGGCCAUGGUGGUCAUAAUAAAGGUGAAUGAAGCUAUUGAAUUUUCUUAUGU
rnacentral:lncRNA from 1 species